CCCUUAGAUGUCCUGGGCCGCUCGCGCGCUACACUGAGUGUCUGAGAUACGAGUCUGCCUGGUCCGGCAAGGUCUAGGUAAUCGCUAAAAGACACAUCAUGCUUGGGAUAGAUUAUUGCAAAUAUUAAUCUUGAACGAGGAAUUCCUAGUAAGCGCAAGUCAACAGCUUGCGUUGAUUACGUCCCUGCCCUUUGUACACACCGCCCGUCGCUACUACUGAUUGGAUGUUUAAGCGAGGUUCUCGAACUGCUAGCGACUUAGCUUCGGUGAGGUCGCAGUGUGGGAAGUGAACCUAGCUUUGGUGUCUAGAGGAAGUAAAAGUCGUAACA
rnacentral:rRNA from 1 species